CCAGUAGCGGCGAGCGAACGGGGAGGAGCCCAGAGCCUGAAUCAGUGUGUGUGUUAGUGGAAGCGUCUGGAAAGGCGCGCGAUACAGGGUGACAGCCCCGUACACAAAAAUGCACAUACUGUGAGCUCGAUGAGUAGGGCGGGACACGUGGUAUCCUGUCUGAAUAUGGGGGGACCAUCCUCCAAGGCUAAAUACUCCUGACUGACCGAUAGUGAACCAGUACCGUGAGGGAAAGGCGAAAAGAACCCCGGCGAGGGGAGUGAAAAAGAACCUGAAACCGUGUACGUACAAGCAGUGGGAGCCUCUUAAUGGGGUGACUGCGUACCUUUUGUAUAAUGGGUCAGCGACUUAUAUUCUGUAGCAAGGUUAACCGAAUAGGGGAGCCGAAGGGAAACCGAGUCUUAACUGGGCGUUAAGUUGCAGGGUAUAGACCCGAAACCCGGUGAUCUAGCCAUGGGCAGGUUGAAGGUUGGGUAACACUAACUGGAGGACCGAACCGACUAAUGUUGAAAAAUUAGCGGAUGACUUGUGGCUGGGGGUGAAAGGCCAAUCAAACCGGGAGAUAGCUGGUUCUCCCCGAAAGCUAUUUAGGUAGCGCCUCGUGAAUUCAUCUCCGGGGGUAGAGCACUGUUUCGGCAAGGGGGUCAUCCCGACUUACCAACCCGAUGCAAACUGCGAAUACCGGAGAAUGUUAUCACGGGAGACACACGGCGGGUGCUAACGUCCGUCGUGAAGAGGGAAACAACCCAGACCGCCAGCUAAGGUCCCAAAGUCAUGGUUAAGUGGGAAACGAUGUGGGAAGGCCCAGACAGCCAGGAUGUUGGCUUAGAAGCAGCCAUCAUUUAAAGAAAGCGUAAUAGCUCACUGGUCGAGUCGGCCUGCGCGGAAGAUGUAACGGGGCUAAACCAUGCACCGAAGCUGCGGCAGCGACACUAUGUGUUGUUGGGUAGGGGAGCGUUCUGUAAGCCUGUGAAGGUGUACUGUGAGGUAUGCUGGAGGUAUCAGAAGUGCGAAUGCUGACAUAAGUAACGAUAAAGCGGGUGAAAAGCCCGCUCGCCGGAAGACCAAGGGUUCCUGUCCAACGUUAAUCGGGGCAGGGUGAGUCGACCCCUAAGGCGAGGCCGAAAGGCGUAGUCGAUGGGAAACAGGUUAAUAUUCCUGUACUUGGUGUUACUGCGAAGGGGGGACGGAGAAGGCUAUGUUGGCCGGGCGACGGUUGUCCCGGUUUAAGCGUGUAGGCUGGUUUUCCAGGCAAAUCCGGAAAAUCAAGGCUGAGGCGUGAUGACGAGGCACUACGGUGCUGAAGCGACAAAUGCCCUGCUUCCAGGAAAAGCCUCUAAGCAUCAGGUAACAUCAAAUCGUACCCCAAACCGACACAGGUGGUCAGGUAGAGAAUACCAAGGCGCUUGAGAGAACUCGGGUGAAGGAACUAGGCAAAAUGGUGCCGUAACUUCGGGAGAAGGCACGCUGAUAUGUAGGUGAAGCGACUUGCUCGUGGAGCUGAAAUCAGUCGAAGAUACCAGCUGGCUGCAACUGUUUAUUAAAAACACAGCACUGUGCAAACACGAAAGUGGACGUAUACGGUGUGACGCCUGCCCGGUGCCGGAAGGUUAAUUGAUGGGGUUAGCGGUAACGCGAAGCUCUUGAUCGAAGCCCCGGUAAACGGCGGCCGUAACUAUAACGGUCCUAAGGUAGCGAAAUUCCUUGUCGGGUAAGUUCCGACCUGCACGAAUGGCGUAAUGAUGGCCAGGCUGUCUCCACCCGAGACUCAGUGAAAUUGAACUCGCUGUGAAGAUGCAGUGUACCCGCGGCAAGACGGAAAGACCCCGUGAACCUUUACUAUAGCUUGACACUGAACAUUGAGCCUUGAUGUGUAGGAUAGGUGGGAGGCUUUGAAGUGUGGACGCCAGUCUGCAUGGAGCCGACCUUGAAAUACCACCCUUUAAUGUUUGAUGUUCUAACGUGGGCCCCUUACCGGGGUUGCGGACAGUGUCUGGUGGGUAGUUUGACUGGGGCGGUCUCCUCCUAAAGAGUAACGGAGGAGCACGAAGGUUGGCUAAUCCUGGUCGGACAUCAGGAGGUUAGUGCAAUGGCAUAAGCCAGCUUGACUGCGAGCGUGACGGCGCGAGCAGGUGCGAAAGCAGGUCAUAGUGAUCCGGUGGUUCUGAAUGGAAGGGCCAUCGCUCAACGGAUAAAAGGUACUCCGGGGAUAACAGGCUGAUACCGCCCAAGAGUUCAUAUCGACGGCGGUGUUUGGCACCUCGAUGUCGGCUCAUCACAUCCUGGGGCUGAAGUAGGUCCCAAGGGUAUGGCUGUUCGCCAUUUAAAGUGGUACGCGAGCUGGGUUUAGAACGUCGUGAGACAGUUCGGUCCCUAUCUGCCGUGGGCGCUGGAGAACUGAGGGGGGCUGCUCCUAGUACGAGAGGACCGGAGUGGACGCAUCACUGGUGUUCGGGUUGUCAUGCCAAUGGCACUGCCCGGUAGCUAAAUGCGGAAGAGAUAAGUGCUGAAAGCAUCUAAGCACGAAACUUGCCCCGAGAUGAGUUCUCCCUGACUCCUUGAGAGUCCUGAAGGAACGUUGAAGACGACGACGUUGAUAGGCCGGGUGUGUAAGCGCAGCGAUGCGUUGAGCUAACCGGUACUAAUGAACCGUGAGGCUUAACCUUACAACGCCGAAG
rnacentral:rRNA from 1 species